AGCAAAUACUGAACGUCCGUACUGUAGUUAUUUCAUUUAAUGUGAUUUGUAUCUAGCUUCACUUCCAUUUGCCGCAUAAACUACUGGACGAUUUUUCAUUGUCGAGAUUUACAAGCGUAACGAAUUUUGUGCAAUUAAUAUAUAUUCUCUCUCUUUUAAUAUUUGCUCCUUUCAAACUUAAGUUUGCUAUUGGGGUUUUAGAUUUUACAGUUUCUUCUCAGUUGAUAUUGCUUAAAGGAACAAUUUCCGCAGCCCUUUCUUUAAAUGCCAAACUAAUUACGGAACUGAAUAUUAUUAAUUUGCUAAUCUUAUAUGCCAGCGAAGAAAAAAAAGAAUAGAGUACCGAUGUAUUUAAAGAUAUGAUUGAAAAUUGCGUCUUGAGAGUACGCAUGAAUAAAUUAAUAAAACGAACAAGAGAUACUUCACGUUUACGAUCAAGGUUCAACUUUUCCAAGCUGCCAUCUCAUUAACUUGUAAAAGUUGGUACCAGGACGAGACAAUCGUUCAAAAGACCCUUGCUCCAAAACUUUCCCGUCUCCAACAACAAUUAUUUGAUCAGCUCGGCGAAUAGUAGCCAAUUUGUGAGCAAUCGUAAUGGUAGUCAUACUACGAUUAUGCAUCAAAGAUUGAAUCGUUUUAUCCACCAUUACUUCUGCUUCACCGUCUAAUGCUGAAGUAGCUUCAUCCAAAAUUAAAAAUGCUGGAUUUCGAAGAAGUGCCCUAGCAAUUGCAAUGCGUUGUUUUUGUCCCCCGCUUAGUUGUAAACCACGAGUCCCGACUUGCGUAGACCAUUUCUCCGGGAAAGAAAGCACAAAACUACAAUUCGCUCGUUUGGCAGCAUCUUCGAUUUCCUCUUGAGAUGCGUUAGAUUUACCGUAAGCAAUAUUUUCGCCAAUUGUACCAGAAAAUAAAACCGGUUCUUGUCCAACUAAACCAAAAUGACUGCGCCAUUGAUGAACAUUAUAUGUAGAGAUGUCAACUCCGUCAGCUAAUAUUUUCCCACUACUAGGUGCGUAAAAGCGCAAAAGGAGCUGUGAGAUGGUGGAUUUUCCACCGCCACUAGGUGCGACUAUAGCAACAUUGGUGCCUGGAUGAAUGUCGAAAGAUAAGUUAUCAAAUAUUGAAGCUGAAGGACGAGUUGGGUAUGCAAACCCAACAUUUCUGAACGAAAGUAUUGCCUUUCCGACUGUGACUGGAACGGGAAUCCCAACGGUUGGAGCUAUCUUCGGUUUAGCAUCUAAAAGUUCAAAUAACCGACUAGCAGCUCCCAGACCUUUCAUAAUAUCAGUAAAACAUCCUGAUAAGCCAACAAUGCUUCCACCGGCAUAAACGGUAUACAGCAAAAAUGAACUUAGCUGUCCUACAGUUAUAUCACCUGCAGCAACCAUUCUUCCGCCUAACGCAAGAAUAGCGAUUACAGUUGCGUUCCCAAGGAACCCUGUUGACCCGAAGAAAAUACCGCUAGCAAAAGCCUCUCGCUUUGCCAGGACAAAGAGAUUUCGAAUGUAAUCGUUGUAACGAUUUACUUCUUGUCUUUCUCCUAGAAAAGCCUGUGUAGUCCGAACAUUUGCGAGUUUCUCUUCUGAAACCCUUGUUAAAUCACCGAGAGCAUCUUGUGUAGUCCUGGAAAGUUUCCGAACAUACUCUCCAUAAAAGAAAGCUCCCAAUGCAAUUGGGGGUACAAUUAGGGACAUAUAUCCAGUGAGUCUCAUGGAUACGUAGAGCAUCAUCCCUAUUCCAGCAAUUGCACUAACUGAGCUACGAAGACCAUCACUUAAGUACAUUGAUAAAGACUUACCGACAAUACUCGAAUCCGUCGUAAGACGGGAUAUGAGAUCCCCAUGUUUAUGAAAGUCAAAAAAUGCUCCAUCUAAUGACAUGCAUUUAGCAAACAAGCGUGCUCGAAGACGACUGACAAUUCUUUCACUCAGUAGACGCAAGGUGAUGAUUCUACCAAAGUUACAAGCUGAACCAAGGAAAAAUAAACCCAACAAACCAAUAUAAAACGUACCAGAAGGAAUUCCCAUGAUAUGCGUGACAGAAGAAUCGCCUGACGAGCCAGCGUCUAAGAUUUUGCCAACAAUGUAGGGAAUGGACAUUGUAACGCCGGAGGAAACUAAGAGAAGAGAUCCAGCAAUAAAAAAAUUCCAUCCCUGACCCCUUGCUAGUGUGAAGAGACGAAAAACAUUGACUUUCUUGUUUGGUGUUUGUAAUGUACCAUUUGUAUUUAUUUUUGAGAUAUCCUGUGCUUGCUCAUCUUUUGAUGGAACUGUAGAAUUAUGUCGCACACACAACUUUAAAAAAGCAAGUGAUCGUAUAGGAAGAAUAGAUCUAGAAAAAGGUAACGGAAAACUAUUUUUAAAAGGAUAUAUCUUAGAACCACUUGAGGCCUUUUGAGAUAACGAGUUUAGGCUCACAUUAACCUGUGAAGAUAACUUACUGGUACUAUAAUAUUCUGCAUUUGGCGUGGGAAGUAAUAGAGUAUUCGUACUUUUGUAAGCCACGUUGUUUUUCAACCAAGUCAACGGUACUAAAUAGUUUGCUCGAAAUAUUACGCGUUUAUUGUAGCAGUGAGCGAAUGGUACUCUCGAAAGUCCAAAACGUAUUGGAUCCAUCCAUGAAUGUGCCUUUCAAAGGAAAUGAACGGAAUCUUUUCGAAACGGGGUUUACACAGGCUUUUGGCAACAAAAGGUGCGCAAAGUAUGUACAAAUAAAUUAUUUAAUAUAUACUUUUUAUUAGUAUUCGUUCUAUCAAAUUUUCUCUUCUCUACGGUAUUAGUAGUUUCGAUAGAAUUUCCACGAAGUACUCUACAUUCGCAUAAGGUAGGUGCUUUGGUACAUACUAAGAUUUCAUUUACCUUAACACAACCACUUCUCUACAACAAGUCAAAUCGACGAG